rnacentral:rRNA from 1 species
GAGUUUGAACCUGGCUCAGGAUGAACGCUGGCGGCGUGCUUAACACAUGCAAGUCGAGCGAAGCAUUCUGCUUUAAAUCUUCGGAGGCGAAGCAGUCUGACUGAGCGGCGGACGGGUGAGUAACGCGUGGGCAACCUGCCUCAUACAGGGGGAUAACAGUUAGAAAUGACUGCUAAUACCGCAUAAGACCGCGGUACCGCAUGGUACAGCGGUAAAAACUCCGGUGGUAUGAGAUGGGCCCGCGUCUGAUUAGCUAGUUGGCGGGGUAACGGCCCACCAAGGCGACGAUCAGUAGCCGACCUGAGAGGGUGACCGGCCACAUUGGGACUGAGACACGGCCCAAACUUCUACGGGAGGCAGCAGUGGGGAAUAUUGCACAAUGGGGGAAACCCUGAUGCAGCGACGCCGCGUGAGCGAUGAAGUAUUUCGGUAUGUAAAGCUCUAUCAGCAGGGAAGAAAAUGACGGUACCUGACUAAGAAGCCCCGGCUAACUACGUGC